CACAGGCGCGGGAGGUGCAGGCUGCCAGCCGCCGUCGCCCCCAACGAUCCAAACAGGCAUUUGGAAAAAAUCUCCCAGGAACUGUUGGCUCACGUCCUUGCGACGAACGCCAGCAGGUUUCCUGACUCAUCGGCAGCGCUCCUGCAGGAAGAGGAACGUACGUUUCCCCACCAAAGCGAUAACUUAAUUAGCAGGAUUUUGUGUUCUCACAGGAGAGAACUUUGUGGCCGAUAAAACAGUAACGGAGAGGAAAACUAGGCGGUAAAAACAGAAGAGCAACUGAGGACUCUGCAAAAAUUUGCAAUCUUGGGCUGAGACAAGCACGGGCAGUUUCUAUGUCCGUUGGCAGGAACUGCAGGCACUUCUCCGCGAUUCAGCUAUUCCUCUUUCCUUACUGCCGGCGGCUUCAUCAUUUCCUAAUCUCAGCUUUUAUCAUUGGCUUCAAAGAGAAGCAAAGGUGAGUCCUAACUGUUCACGCUUUGACGCUGUAAUUUUUGCAGGUGACGCAGUAUUUGUUGGACCAGUCGUUUGUGAUGGAUGAGGAAACGCUUUAUGAAGCUUCUCUGCGAAUAGAACCCAAACUGCCUUCCUGAGUCCGGCCCGGCGGCGGCGGCGGAUGCGAGUACCCCUGCUCCGGUAACGCCGUGCGGAGAGACUGGCGACGAGAACGGCAGGCGAUGCGCUCCAGCUGUGCCAGGAAGGGCUGCUGCCUGCGAACCGCGCAGCGCCUAGCUCUGCUGCUGCCCAGGCCUCAGUGUAAGCAGGGAAGGUGAAAAUGUAUCUUUGACUGUUUUAGCUGCAUAAUACUCAUGACAAGCUUCUGUUGAUAUGCUAUAAAUCUGUAUACCUUGUGACAACUAUUAGUAACAUGAUGUAGAAUUAGAAAAAAAUGACCAAGUGUUUUUAUUACAUAUACUGUAAUCCUGUCUAACCACCUUCUAGCAGGAAUAUAGUAAUGUAGUGCUUAUUCUGUGAAUAUUACCAUGUAUUUUUUACAUUGUACAGUAUAUAAACACAGUUUAACUUUAAAGUGGCAGGCAUGCUCCACUAU